rnacentral:rRNA from 1 species
GAUGAACGCUGACACAAUGCUUAACACAUGCAAGUCUACUUGAUCCUUCGGGUGAUGGUGGCGGACGGGUGAGUAACGCGUAAAGAACUUGCCCUGCAGUCUGGGACAACAUUUGGAAACGAAUGCUAAUACCGGAUAUUAUGUGAGUUUCGCAUGAAAUUCAUAUGAAAGCUAUAUGCGCUGCAGGAGAGCUUUGCGUCCUAUUAGCUAGUUGGUGAGGUAACGGCUCACCAAGGCGAUGAUAGGUAGCCGGCCUGAGAGGGUGAACGGCCACAAGGGGACUGAGACACGGCCCUUACUCCUACGGGAGGCAGCAGUGGGGAAUAUUGGACAAUGGACCAAAAGUCUGAUCCAGCAAUUCUGUGUGCACGAUGAAGUUUUUCGGAAUGUAAAGUGCUUUCAGUUGGGACGAAGUAAGUGACGGUACCAACAGAAGAAGCGACGGCUAAAUACGUGCCAGCAGCCGCGGUAAUACGUAUGUCGCAAGCGUUAUCCGGAUUUAUUGGGCGUAAAGCGCGUCUAGGCGGUUUGGUAAGUCUGAUGUGAAAAUGCGGGGCUCAACUCCGUAUUGCGUUGGAAACUGCCAAACUAGAGUACUGGAGAGGUGGGCGGAACUACAAGUGUAGAGGUGAAAUUCGUAGAUAUUUGUAGGAAUGCCGAUGGGGAAGCCAGCCCACUGGACAGAUACUGACGCUAAAGCGCGAAAGCGUGNGUAGCANACAGG